rnacentral:rRNA from 1 species
GACGAACGCUGGCGGCGUGCUUAACACAUGCAAGUCGAACGGUGAAGGGGUCUGCUUUUGUGGGCCCUGGAUGAGUGGCGAACGGGUGAGUAACACGUGAGUAACCUGCCCCCUUCUUCUGGAUAACCGCAUGAAAGUGUGGCUAAUACGGGAUAUUCUGGGUCUGUCGCAUGAUGGGUCUGGGAAAGAUUGCGCCUUUGGGUGUUUUUGGUGGGGGAUGGGCUCGCGGCCUAUCAGCUUGUUGGUGGGGUGAUGGCCUACCAAGGCGGUGACGGGUAGCCGGCCUGAGAGGGUGGACGGUCACACUGGGACUGAGACACGGCCCAGACUCCUACGGGAGGCAGCAGUGGGGAAUAGUGCACAAUGGGCGCAAGCCUGAUGCAGCGACGCCGCGUGAGGGAUGGAGGCCUUCGGGUUGUAAACCUCUUUCGCCAGUGAAGCAGGCCUGCUCCUUGUGGGUGGGUUGACGGUAGCUGGAGAAGAAGCGCCGGCUAACUACGUG